UACGUAGGGUGCAAGCGUUAAUCGGAAUUACUGGGCGUAAAGCGUGCGCAGGCGGUUGUGCAAGACAGAUGUGAAAUCCCCGGGCUCAACCUGGGAAUUGCAUUUGUGACUGCACGGCUAGAGUGUGUCAGAGGGGGGUAGAAUUCCACGUGUAGCAGUGAAAUGCGUAGAGAUGUGGAGGAAUACCGAUGGCGAAGGCAGCCCCCUGGGCCAACACUGACGCUCAGGCACGGAAAGCGU
rnacentral:rRNA from 1 species